rnacentral:misc_RNA from 1 species
UCGAGGCCCCACAUCCCUUGCGCGUAACCCGCGACCUCUGAGCCCAUCAGUACGAGCCGCGUGUCUCGACCGAGGUCCGUCGACGGAACGUGCCAGAUCCAGGUCAGGUACUCCCGGAUCGGAUCGGGAUCCAACCCAAGGGCCAAAUCGGAGUCCUCCAUGAGGCGAACGACGACGUCCAGAUCGGCGUCCGUCACUGGGCGCACGGUGAAGCCUCCGGGAAGGGAACGAACGUCCGUCAUAGGCAGCCGCGAGCAUAGUCCGCCCCCAGGCUCGGUCCGGUGACACGAGCCUCUGCGGUCACAGAAGCACUGACUAUGCCCUGAGGAGCAGCUCGGCA